rnacentral:lncRNA from 1 species
GUGCAAGGGUAAGCUAGUAUUCAAAACCAUACAAGUUCAGUACAUUUUCAAUAGACAGCGUAUAUAAACAACCACAAAUCAAACAUAUAAUUUCCUAAUUGACCUAGACUCGUCCAGACUAGGAAUGUAUAUAGAGCUGGGGCAGGUUGUGCACUUGUGGUGGACUCUACUGCUUUGCAAAGCCAUUACCGAGGGGUUUCACCCGACCACACACAAGGCGAGUCCGUUACCGCGGUGUAGACCUACAGUGGAAGCGUCUACCCUAGGACUUCCCACUACUCUCACCACCCGCGUCAAUCCUCUCUAUUUGAGAAUGACUGACCGUCAGAGUAUUAGAGAUAACCCCCCAUAGUGGAAGCCUCUUACAUACAUUCAAUACACUAACUGAUCUCACCGAGAGACCUNAAAUUACAUAUUCAAUCCACCACUUUAAAUCACAUGAUGUUCCUCUUGAAUCAAUAAUAUACCUCAUAAACCACUUUGAUUCAUCAAACAUAAAUUUCAUAUUCAUUCAAGUACGUUCUUACUAUAUUGUCU